rnacentral:rRNA from 1 species
ACGUAGGGGGCAAGCGUUAUCCGGAAUUACUGGGUGUAAAGGGAGCGUAGGCGGCAUGGUAAGUUAGAUGUGAAAGCCCGGGGCUUAACCCCGUGGAUUGCAUUUAAAACUAUCAAGCUAGAGUACAGGAGAGGAAAGCGGAAUUCCUAGUGUAGCGGUGAAAUGCGUAGAUAUUAGGAAGAACACCAGUGGCGAAGGCGGCUUUCUGGACUGAAACUGACGCUGAUGCUCGAAAGCGUGGGGAGCGAACAG